UUUCUACUACGUCUGUUUUGUGAGAUGUCUGUUUUGUGAGAUGUCUGUUUUGUGAGAUGACAUGUAAUAUUACAUUGGAUGCUGAGUAUGAGUUAUAUGGUUUGAAAUGAAUUGGUGUGUUAUGUGUUUCAUGUAUUUUAUUGUCCAUUGUGUAGGAGUUUAACUAGCAGAGUGAUUUGCAUAUCAUUAACGCAAGCAUUUAGUGUUUUUACAAAAGGUGAAAUGCUGUCCAGCCGGCUAGAAUGAAACAAUUGUAUGCUAUCGCUCCUGGAGCAAGAAAAGCGCUUGUUACAUCCCACGUGAAAGGGGCCCCGCAAACUUCUGCUGUUCAAAUCGUGGAUCCACGUUUCCAUUUGCAAAUUGAUUAAUCCUGAAAGUCAUUCUUUUACUGAUAAAAAGGAUAAAUGGACAAGAUGUCUCUCCCUCAUAAAGGAGUUCUAAUAGGGGAGUAUUGUCCAGCUCAGAGUUAACUCUACUUUUAAAGUAUAUUGCAUUGUUUGUGUCAAAGUAAGAUUCAUCUAGAAUGCCUCAUUGAUUAUGGGGUAAUAAUAAAAUGGUAUUUUUAAUAGAGAUAAGACAAUUUCGGAAAUUUAUAAGUGAGGUAAUUUUAAUCUCCUAAACUACUGUAUUAUAUUUGUAUGGGUAAAUUGAAAGCAUUUUGCAGAUCCAGAAGAGGAUUAAUAAAUAAUAUAAUAAUCUCACUAGGAGCCAAAUUAUGCAAAGAGGCUAACCAAAGUACGCACUAACGGGUUAAACUUGUUUUCUUGAUAAGCGUAUAACAUUUAGUUUUGUGGUUAGAUUUUUGAUACUCAAUUAGAAAUAUGUCCCAAUUACAUCCUUGCAUGGCCCCAGGUACAGGAAGCAAUAUGUGUUUUAAAAAUUUGCAAGGUCUUAGUGUUUUCAAUAUAUUAUAAUAAUGGAAAAGUACCUAACCGCAUGUCUACAUUAUGCUCAUGACACAGACUGUCAGUAUUGCAAGCCCUAUAUGAAGGCUAUGCCUAUAUGUAUAUACCCCUAGACAACCUUGCUUUAUAUGAAACCUUUAAAAGCUUAUUAAUAGUAAAUCUGUGUGGUACAAAGAGGGGUACACAAAGAGGGGGUGUGAGUUAGGUAAUCCCGACCUGCAUAUGGAAUAUGCUUCCUCUUUGUUCACUUUUGUUCCUUGUUGGUCUGUGACUGGCCCUUUUUGACCCCAAAUGAUUUUUUUGGGAAGAUACAGCAAUUGUGGAUAGCAGGGUCACUGAAAAAAUGAGUGCCCAAAACCACCCCCACAGAUUCCUCAAUAUCAACCACAGCUUCCAAUCUAUACCCACACCCAACAGCCCCAGCCUAAUACACAGGUGGUUCAGGUUUGUAAUAUUUUAUAUAGUUUUAGGUGUUAAUCCAAGAGUAUUGAAUUAUUCGGGAUUAUUAAAGUAAUUAAUUUUGAAUAUCAGAUCAAGGUUCCAGUUUAGGAACAGAGUUUUAUUGGGAAUUAUCCCCAUAUGUAUAUGUUAGUGUUUUAAUAUUCAUCCUAACAAGGAUUUCUAUAGAGUGAGUGCUACUCUCAUCCGUACAAAGGCAUUCCAAAGAGGUAUUAUGUAAAACUUCAUAGAAGACAGAUUGCAUAAAAUAUAAGAGAAGUACAUGUUACACAAAUUAAGGGUUUAACCUUAAUCUCUAAUUUAAGUUUUAGCCUAGGUAAUUAAUUCAUGUUGUAUUGAUCCUUGUGUUUGUAUGAUUGUAGAGACCGUCCUGGAGUGUUUGUGCCGCCUGAUUUCUGGGACUACACACCAAUCUCUCUGGCUGACCAUGCAAUAAGUAUUUUGCAAUUACAUCUGUUUGGUCAUUAUCCAUGCAGGCCGAAGAAACUGAGAUACUUAUUUAUGAGGACAUAAACUUUGCACGCAAGAACCUGGAAAGUCCUGAAGGUGCAGUGCUGUCUAAUGCCGCUGGUUCUGUAAUAACCCUUUCAACCAUUGGGGUGUUGCACAGAGCUUUGUGGUGAAAAUCCAGCAAACAAAAGAAGAACUAAGAACUAUUUGGAAGCUGACAUUGUCUUGUUGUCAGCCAUAUUGCUACCCUUAGCCAUUUUUAUGGAACAAAAUGUCUGGUGUCUAAACUGAUUUCUUUAUACUCUGUGAAAGACUUAUUCUAUUUUUCUGGACUAUGCUGAACUAUUGAACUAAUUUUAUUUUUAUUUUUGUAGAGUUAGCCAGAGAGAGAGGAAGUGUUAGCUGACCCAGGGAUGGAUGUACUAUGUGUAUCUUUGAUGUAUGUUGAGUGUGCCAAGGAUGGAUUCCCAUGUUUUGAGGAACUGCGUGAGGAUAUGACUGGUUUUGACUGGACUUUUGGAAUAGCGAAAAGGUUAAAAGAUAUAGGACGCAAGGUCCUGGUUGUGAUUAUUGUCAGAAUUUCAAGCUAGAUUAUAAUUUAUCUCAUGAAUUAAUAUGUAAGAAGUGUUUCCCAAUUCCUCCCAAUACCCAAGCUAUGUACUCACAGGUGCGGGUAUUAUAAGUCAUAAGUGGUGUCAACUGUGAGGGGAUGACAUGUCUAACACGAUCGCGGCCCCCACUCAGGUUUUCCCUAAAUGUUCUUUUUCCUCACAUAUGAGUUUUUGCCACUGGGUUUUUGCCUGGCCAAAGAUCAUCGGGUGGACUGGUAAUCCUAGACCCGGGUCAUUGGACGGGGGAUAGGUAUUAUUCCCACUUUGACUAUAUGCGCCCACUUGCGUGGAUGAAGGAGGAAAACAACUAUUGGGAAUAAUAUACUUUGCCCAUAUUUACCUAGGGCUUAUGAUACAGAUGGCAUGUUGGUUAGUCUGUUUAAAAUUGGUUAACAUGUCAGCUAUUUGCAAUAAUUAUUGUUAUGGUUCUGGUCCUUGCUCUACUUGUUUAUGCUAUUUUUAAGACUAUUGUAUUCUGCAUUUACAAACAUACAUGCAACACUGUUCCUGUAAAAUCCCCAGCUUGCUAUGAUGAGUAUCUCCAAAUGUAUACACAUAACCGAAGCAAUGGUGAACAUGCUGAUACAGAUCUAUAAGUUUGUGGUACUGGUCAGAUGACUAGUCCUAUGCUAUGGGAAUAGUGGCCGAAGACAUAAUGAAAGACCUGCAGGAUUGACUAGCAAUCCUGAAUAUACCAUGGCAGAUGGCUGGUUGUCUGACCAAGAUUCCUUAAAUGGGGUAUGAGCAAGGUCUUGCUCAAAGAGGGGAAUGAAGGGAAGGGGUUAAUGAUUCUCAUCUAUAAUUUCUGAUAUUAUAUUCUCUUUCUUAAGAUUUACACAAGAGCUAAAAAACUAGACAAACCACAGGUUAUUUUUGAUUUAUCACUUCUGCUUUUGAAUCAACAGACGCAUCCGCAAAGUAACGUUGACCUGAUGCUUCCAAGAAAAGUAUCAUGGAAAAUAAGACAUGCUUGACCACAAGAAAUGUGGUCUUCUGCAAAAAUCAGCUAUUUCCGCUUUUAUUUUGACCAAUGUAUGUCAAAGUUCAUGAUCAAUACUGUAUAAAUAUGCCAUCCUUUUUAU